CUGCCUGAAAACAAAUCACCAUCAUAUUCUCGUUGUCAUCUCCAAGUUAUACUACAAUUUCCAUCACAGUUGAUCAAUUCAAGGAAAUCGAGACCUACAGAAAAGAAUCCUUUUUUUCUCUUUACAAAGACAAUUUUUCCAACCUAAGAAAGCUAUCUCCGCGAGCAAGUUAUGGUCGGAGUAAGGAAAUUCAAGUAUAAACACAUGAGGUUGAGCAGUGGCGGUGGAGAAAUGCUAAGCAGAGUUGAUGAUUUCCUUCUUGUUUUAAGUAGAGAUUCUCGGAGGUGCAUGUCUCCAUACAUGUGACCGUGUUCUUUCCGCUGUGUAGUAAUGUUCUACACAACAUCGACUGUUCGUUUAUAC